rnacentral:tRNA from 1 species
GGAUUGUGGCUCAGUGGCAGAAGGCUUGCCUCAAAAGUAUGAGCACUGGGUUCGAUCCUCAGCACCA